GUCUGGCAGGCUCAGUGGGUGGAGCAUGGGACUGUUGAUCUUGGGGUUGUGAGUUCAAGACCCACGCUGGGUG
rnacentral:tRNA from 1 species